UGGGUUUAAAGGGUCCGCAGGCGGGUUAAUCAGUCAGUGGUGAAAGUCUGCAGCUCAACUGUAGAAUUGCCAUUGAUACUGUUAACCUUGAGUAAUUAUGAAGUGGUUAGAAUAUGUAGUGUAGCGGUGAAAUGCAUAGAUAUUACAUAGAAUACCGAUUGCGAAGGCAGAUCACUAAUAAUUUACUGACGCUGAUGGACGAAAGCGUAGGUAGCGAACAGGAUUAGAUACCCUGGUAGUCUACGCCGUAAACGAUGGUUACUAGCUGUUCGGAUCAAUUGAGAUCUGAGUGGCUAAGCGAAAGUGAUAAGUAACCCACCUGGGGAGUACGUUCGCAAGAAUGAAACUCAAAGGAAUUGACGGGGGCCCGCACAAGCGGUGGAGCAUGUGGUUUAAUUCGAUGAUACGCGAGGAACCUUACCAGGGCUUAAAUGUAGUCUGACAGGUCUGGAAACAGACCCUUCUUCGGACAGAUUACAAGGUGCUGCAUGGUUGUCCGUCAGCUCGUGCCGUGAGGUGUCAGGUUAAGUCCUAUAACGAGCGCAACCCCUGUUGUUAGUUGCCAGCGAGUAAUGUCGGGAACUCUAACAAGACUGCCGGUGCAAACCGUGAGGAAGGUGGGGAUGACGUCAAAUCAUCACGGCCCUUACGUCCUGGGCCACACACGUGCUACAAUGGUAGGGACAGAGAGCAGCCCACU
rnacentral:rRNA from 1 species